rnacentral:rRNA from 1 species
GGCAGCAGUAGGGAAUCUUCCACAAUGGACGCAAGUCUGAUGGAGCAACGGCCGCGUGAGUGAAGAAGGGUUUCGGGCUCGUAAAGCUCUGUUGUUAAAGAAGAACGUGGGUGGAGAGUAACUGUUCACCCAGUGACGGGUAUUUAACCAGAAAGCCACGGCUAACUACGUGCCAGCAGCCGCGGUAUAU